ACCCUGGUAGUCCACGCUGUAAACGAUAAUCACUAGACGUUGGUCCUGUUUAACGGGAUCAGUGUCGAAGCUAACGCGUUAAGUGAUUCACCUGGGAAGUACGGUCGCAAGAUUAAAACUCAAAGGAAUUGACGGGGGUCCGCACAAGCGGUGGAACAUGUGGUUUAAUUCGACACUACGCGAGGAACCUUACCUAGGCUUGACAUGUAUUUGACAGUCCUAGAAAUAGGAUCUUCUGGGCUUCGGUCCAGACGGAUACACAGGUGCUGCAUGGCUGUCGUCAGUUCGUGUCGUGAGAUGUUUGGUUAAGUCCUCUAACGAGCGCAACUCUUGUCUUUAGUUGCUACUUUUAAGUAAAGCACUCUAAAGAGACUGCCUGGGAAACCAGGAGGAAGGUGGGAAUGACGUCAAGUCAGCAUGGUCCUUAUGCCUAGGGCUACACACGUGUUACAAUGGUCGGUACAAAGGGUUGCUAAUCCGUAAGGUGGAGCUAAUCCCAGAAAGCCGAUCUAAGUUCAGAUUGAGGUCUGCAACUCGACCUCAUGAAGUUGAAAUCGCUAGUAAUCGCAUAUCAGCAACGAUGCGGUGAAUACGUUCUCGGACCUUGUACACACCGCCCGUCACACCAUGAGAGCUGUUUGUACCCGAAGCCAUCUUAGCCAACUUGUAAAAGAGGCGGAUGUCUAAGGUAUGAGGAGUGAUUGGGGUGAAGUCGUAACAAGGUAGCCGUAA
rnacentral:rRNA from 1 species